AAGUCGUAACAAGGUUUCCGUAGGUGAACCUGCGGAAGGAUCAUUACAAAAAAUCCAAUGGCUAGCAUACUCUCAAGCAUGCGAAUCAUCAAACCAUUUCUGAGUACAUCACUUCCGCGUUGCUUUCGCAGGUGGACCGGCGUCGACGUGGAGAUUAGAGUCCUCAUCGCGUCGUCAAUCUGCGAAAGGGUCUGAGUUUUCGACUCAUUAAAAUCUUCGUUUAACCGUCGUUCAAUUCUCGUCUGAAACAAACUACAAAACAAAAACAAAACUUUCAACAACGGAUCUCUUGGUUCUC
rnacentral:misc_RNA from 1 species